rnacentral:SRP_RNA from 1 species
CGGCGGGUAGGCCUGGGGGGCUCGGCCUCCCCUGUAACCGCAAACGGUCGACAUGGCGGGGGCAGUAACCCCAGCAAGCGGCUUAGGUAUCUGAGCCGCCCUCCAACCUUGAGCUGUGAGGCCUCGCCCCAUGGAGGUGCCGUAGGGGAUAGCUCCCCCGUAGGGGGGAUGCGAAUCCCCUCACCAGCCGAACCAGGUUAGGCCCGGGAGGGAGCGGCCUUAAGGCUGGGCGGUGCCGUUCAUGGGUUAACGGGGCUGAGCAAGGGGUUGGAGAUGGUGCUCAGAGACCCUAAGCCCAUUGCUGGGGGGCCGCCG